rnacentral:lncRNA from 1 species
CGGAGAACACAUAGGAGAGCUGCCAGCCUAGGACACUUGGCUGCAAAAACCGGAAAGAUGGACUGAAUUCAAACAAAAGCCUGUGCUCGGUACUGCUUAUUUGAAUGGAUGAAGAUGAAUGGAUGGCUGAUGGUGAUGUAUUCACUCAUUCUCCUUCUUCUGCCCCAUCCAAGUCUUCCAAAGACAUUGAAGCUAAUUUAUAGUGAUGCUUUCACUGCGCCCAAUUAUUAAGGAGUGAGAGAUAAUGGCGGUGAGAAAUAAUUUCAACAGGGAAGCUGUGAUUGUGUCGGGGCCAAAUCCUUGGAAGGAUAAUCAAUUAAAUAGUUUUGGAGAGGAGAGGUGUGGAAGUCAGAUGAUAACAGUGUUUAUAGCAAUUAAGUUUCUCUAUUUGAGGAGGAAUGGUUUCUUCUGAGCACUUUCAAAGCAUUGGGAAGCCAUCUGGAGAUACCAACAGUGGCUCAACGCUGGACUAGAAAUAUCCUACAGGAACUGCCAGUGCGUGGGGAGUGCUGUCAAAAGGCUAGAGGCCUUUCGUUACCCCUCCCACCCACAGCCUGAUCAUUGCUAAAAUACAAUCUGUAAGAGUUCGGCUACAUAAGAUCUUUGUGUUUUUUCCUCCAAGGUUUUAUUUCUGACCGAUUCUAAAUAAAGGUAUUAUUCGAGUGGGAGAAAGUUACCUUAGAAAAUAAUGCUCCCCAUUUUAGCCUUCUAGGGUUUUACUACCUAGUGGUUUUAAAACAAUGUUGAAGCUAUUUGUCCCUCCAACAACAGGCCUUUUUCUGCACUGAUUUACUUUGUGACACUUCUGCUUGGCAUUUAGUUUGCACUUGAGUUUAGAACUCCAGAAAAUGUGUGGAUAUUUUAGAGGGCAUCUUUUGUCAUCAACAGAAAUCUGGAGCAAGUCAAUUCACCACUUUUAAUUUGUUUGUUUGUGUUGUCCAUUUCUUUUCUCUUUUCCUUUUCUUUUUUAAAUGCAUAGAAUGACUUCCUGGCAUUUUGAUGACUGCAGAGAGGAGACUCCCUCAUCCAUGGUUGUGAUCUUUGCCCAUCUGCCCACCUAUCUCUGGUUUCCUCAGUUUUCUAUACUCUUUGUUUUUGUUUUGUUUUCCUUCAUUUUACACUCAUACUUUGGGAAUUUAAGAGUAUGUAUUUUGACCAUACUCAAGCCCCUCCAUACUCCUUUCAGAUCCAAUCCGUUUCACUACCCAUCUAACUCUGUGUUUUUUCCAUUUUAUUUUUAACUUAUGCACACAGCUGUUGUUGCUCAUAUACUUUUGGAUGUGUAGCUUCCUACUGGGGCAUGAUCAACCCGCCAGGGUUGCGACCUUAAACCAAACUGACUCUCCUCUCAGAAGCUACCAGUUGCCUAUAGCUCCUUAGCUAGGGAAGGACUUUGUGUUAACCUUUCCACUCCAAGGUGGGAUGUUGUCUGGCUUGAGUUUUUACCAGUCUUGUGCAUGCUGUCUCAGCUGCUGUGAGUUCAUAUGUACAACUGCCUUGUUGUGUCCAGAAAACACCAUUUCUUUGUACUCAUACAGUGCCUCUGGCUCUCACCUAUCUUUCUAUCUCAUGUUCCAUAAUGAUCUGAAAGCUUUGGGAAGAGAACUUGUGAUACAAUUGUCCUAUUGGAGCUGAGCCUUCUAGUCUCAUAUUCUAUGCACCUUGUCUGUGCUGGUCUCUGUGUCUAUCUACUGUACAAAGAAGUAUCUCUAAUGAGGACUGAGAGAUGAUUUAACCUAAGAGUAUAAUAAUGAGCCAUUAGGUAUUGAUUUAAUAGCAUGCCCAUUUAUCAGAAUAAUAGUAGUAGGCCUACAACCAGUUUAGCCAGGUUCUUGGCCCUGAUUUGGUGCUAGAUAUAAGUUUUAACGUAUACAAUGAGCUGUAAAUCUAAUCAGAACAUUUUUGUUUACUAAUACCAAAGACAUUUCAAAAUGGUCAUAUGAAAUUCUACUAUAUAAGCAUCCUAAAUUAUACACAUACAUGUCCAUAAAUUAACUUAAAAUGGAGUUACCCUGUAAUGAGUUAACAAAAUCCCUACUAGAUACCACAAGCCAACAAAUUAGAAAGCCCAGCGAUGACUUCAGACCUUUACAUUCUCUUAAUACAACAGUUAAUCUUCUCCUUUGGGUUAAAAUCUACUUAAUCUGACAAGCUAAAUCUUAUUUUGUUUAUGAAAGAACUAUGUUCGUAGGUGUUCUAAUUUGCACAGUUGCUGUUCCUUCAAGUUGCUGCUGCUGGAUAUAAGUGUUGAGAUGCAAUUAGUAUCUGGAUAGUAAAAUUUAUAUCUUAGAGAGAUUUACUUUAGACGGGAGUUAUAUAAUGUGAUCUUGCAAUAACUAAGUUGUUUACUUUAAAAAUAAAGACAAUACUGUUUGUUGUC